AGUUCUUUGUGCUUGGCUUGUUUAUAUCUUGUUCCCUGCUUGUUCUUCCUUGGUCCCUUUGAACCUCCUAAAAACCUUCUUAUUCAGAUUCUAGGGGUUUGGCUCUAAACUCCCUACAAGGUAAUUCUCCCACCUACCUGAAUUCCUGAGUCACACCGCCUGCAAGCUAAAGGUAGAGACAAAUGCGUGAGGGGGAGAAUGGUAACAGGAAAUAAAGCUACCGGGAGAAAUAAUAGCUUAAAAAAACACCUGCCAACUCCCACAGACAGUGCAAGAGAAAUAAUUCUCCUUUCCAAGGAUUAGGAAGUUCUCAGACAACACGGCUAGGAAGAGUUGAAGGGAAUUUAAAAGCAAAGCUCCAGCUUUUGCUGCUCUGCUUUGGCUACAGGGAACCCAGAAGCUUGCUAGCAGGAUGGCAAGUCUGUGUCAUCGCCAUCCCCCAGGGCAUUCCGCAGUGGAAAUGUGUCUGCAGCAGAUGGAGUCAGGACCAAAAGAUGGGUCUCUUUUUUCCAUCUAGCAGAAUGGAGGACCUUAAUAGAGUCCUCAAGCCAGUUGUGCGAAAGGGAGAAGCUAGAAGGGGACAGUCCUGAUUGAUUUCUGUGCUCUCCAAGCCGCUUGCCGCAGCGUCACGGUCUCCCAACUUCAAGCUGUGAUGACACUUUGGAGAAAUAUGUUCCGCUACUCCCACACACUGUUAGCGGCUGAGCUGGCACAGUCAAUAUGGCCAGGAGAGAAGUGAAUGAACGUCCAGCAAAAAAGGAUGCUGUCAAGGCAAGGCAAGCGCAAGAGCAUCUGUGCAGCGCUCGAAAGCGGGACUGGUUCCCCCAUUCAGGCAGUCUGGUCCAAAAAUAAUCAAAUUAAUAAAUAUGCGUGGGUCAGGCAGAUGGCCCUUCACUGGGAUAAUAGCAAGCAGUAAAAACACUAACUUUCAAUA